UACAGAAACCGACAGUCUCCACUGGUAGGACUGCUCCCAGCGACAGUGGUUAUUUUUGUGUGCAGCUAAAAUAGCUUGAAGUCAACAAGGGUUAAUUCACUUGUUUCCACUGGCAGGGCUGAAGACCGAGCACUCGAGCCAGCUGAAAGCAGAUGGAGAAAACACGUCUGAAUUUGUUGAAGACACAAUAAAUCGACUGCCGAGCAUUCUCCCGUCGACUCUGGUACUCCACCGAAGCGAGGGGCAUAGGCAGAGUCUACGGGGGAGCAACAGCAGUCAACCUACCACAGUGAGGACACCGCGGUCCUACACAAGGGAGUCCUGCUCCAGGACUAAGGCUCCUAGGUGCUUCUUCUUCUUAGCAUAUGUGCCACGUGCCUCAGGUGGCCAGUGACCAGGAUUCAUCAACGAAUUUAGUCUGCUGAUCGGAUCAUUAGCUUCCCCAGCCCGGGCCGGGUACUGACGAGGAGCGCAACAUGAACGCUGAUCCAUGCCCCCCUCCAAAGUGCUAAUGAAAUACAAAUAAUAAAGAAUAAUACUCACGUUGCAAGGCAGUGGGGAAUCAGACCCAGGGUCUGUUUUCAGCCGUUCUAAACAAGCUUGGCCUUCUAAGGUGAGGUUAGAUAUGAAGUUGCUCUACUGUGUUGUCAUACCAAGGAACUUCAGUUCUAGUACAUGUAUAGGAGGAAACAUUUCACCUGUCGUUUUAACCAUUUGUGGAUGUGCCCUCAACCGAGAGCUGGGCGGAAUUUUUCAGGGGAAUUGUUUAUUUGCAGUUUUUGUCAGCUUGAAGCCAAGUGUGAAUUUGACACAAAUUUGCUGAAUACUUUUCGUCUUUUAUUUUUAUUUAUUUCUUUAUUUACUUACUUACUUAUUUAUUUUUCAGGACUUGGAUGGCAGUCACAAACCAGCCACAGGAGGAAGUAGAUCCUCCUUAUAAAUUUUAGCCUAGUGGCUAAAAUACGGACUUGAGAAAACUAGGUUCACUUUCCCUCCCUGUCUGAUGUGGAGCCUUCUCAUUGUCUUUCCCUGGCCCAAGGACUAUUCACUGUCAUUCGUAGUCGCAAAGUCAUAGUCAUUCAUAAAGCUCAGUGGUUUGAGCAUUGGCCUGCUAAACCCAGGGUUGUGAGCUCAAUCCUUGAGGGGUCCAUUUAGGGAUCUGGGGCAAAAGUUGGGGAUAGGUCCUGCUUUGAGCAGGGGGUUGGACUAGAUGACCUCCUGAGGUCCCUUCCAACCCUGGUAUUCUAUGAUUCUAUGAUUCUAAGUAGUCAUUGGGAUGGAAGAAACUGGGGAGAAUGUCUCUAUACCCGGGUGGUUAGGGUAGUCGCCUAGCAUAUGGGAAGCCCAAGUUCAAGCCCCUCCUCCAAUGACUACGGAUAGAAAUUCCAAGCUUGAAUAAUAAGAGUAAAGCAGUAGGAAUAUAUUACUGACCACCUGACCUGCAGUGGGAUCGUCUUCGGUCACUCCCUGGGAGAUAGGAGGUGUGUUUGGGGGCUAGAGAGGCAAAUAGCUCACGGGUGCUCCCUGGGAGGAGGGAGUAGAGAGGCAGCAAACCCCACCGAGGGGAGGGUGUUGGAGUAGGAAGCAGCCUAAGGAGUAAGCAGCAAGGUUGGGGACAGAACAGACCCUGGCUGCUUGUUGUAGCAUCUCUUGUCUGAAACCCAGGAUAGAAGGUGGGCCCGGGUUCCUCUACCUGCCACUCAGGAAGUGGCACCAGCAGGGCUGUGAACUGGACAACUGUCUGGGUCACUGUGGGAAUGACAGAAACUUUGAAAGACUAUACCUCGGAAGGGGUGGGGGGGACGCUGAGUGACCUGGCUGGUGGGCUGAAUCACAAAGAGGACACUGCAGUUCCUGGAGUGAGAGAGGAGCGACAGACCAGGGAGAGAGACGGAAUGACAGUGUGCGACUGCGGGAAAGGGCAUUGACCUCGUGAGCUAAUCCCCAGAGCGGCCAGGAGGGGGCACCACAUGUGGUCACAUGGAGAAAAUCUGCACUGACAUUUAUAACGACCUCUGAAGACCCCUGCUGACCGAGUCACGGGAACAUCACUGGUGGGGUCAGAUCCUGGCACUGACUCCUUCUGCAGCCCUGAGUAUGUCGUGCAGAGGGGAAUUCACCAGGGGACAAGCUGGACGCUCUGUGAGUGGGGAAAGAGCGCUCUCUGUUGACCGUCUCGAAUAUGAUACGGCUUUUCUGAGGACAGCUGGGAUGCGGGAAGGGCUUUGUAAAUGUACCCGCAGCCAUGCCCACUCCUGCAGGUUACUGGAUUUUCAGCAACUACAAAACUAGCUGGAAAGUCAAACGACACACAGGGAGGUGAACAAGGGCUGCUACUGGCCAGUGGGCCUGACUCUCAGUUAUGUUAAGACCUUGUUACAUCACUGUGGCAAUGUAAAGAGGCCUUAAGUUGGGGACAAAUGCCCCCUGAGGAUGUCCCGCAUGCAGAGGUUCUCCCCAGAUGGGGUAGAGUUGCUGUCAUGGAUCUACAUCCAUGAUGUAGAGACCAUAUUGUGGGAGGGAUCACAGUGCACUGUGCUUUGGCUAUUCUCUGUUUUCCAGGACCCACAGGGAGCCACGGGAAACUGAACAUAUUUGAGCAGCCCUGAUGCUGCUCUAACUUACACCAGUCACCAGGCAGGGCCCCGCACAGCCCCAGAAUAUAGGAGGUUUACAGCUAAUUUAACUCCCCAUGCCCCGUUCCUGUCCCAUAUACAAGAAUGGAGUAACUGAGAAAACUGGCCCCAGCAUUUAGAUUGCCAUGUGGCUAUAUAUGAUAGAUGUGGCUUCGAGGGGAGUGCUGGAUGCUAAGGAAGAUGCACUUGUGAGCCAUGUAAAAGGAACGAGGAGUGUGAUGGGCCCUGCCACUGAGCAGUCACUAGCCUGAAGAUGCCAUUCGCUCUAAAUCAUGAACAAAUUAUCAAUGGCACAGACUGUGGAAAUGCUGCUUUUCUAUCACUGAUGGGCCAACACGGCUGUACCCUAGUCCGAAAGGAGGAGGAAGUGAGUCCCAGCCUGGUUUCAUUCAUUUGGGUAAGUCUAGGCUCGGAUCCUGGGCAUACACAGCAUUGCCGGCUCUCACAAUAUUUGCUGUAUUUCUUAAAUUCUUAGCUCCUGGAGUCAUGUGAAUAUGUGAGAAUCUCAGCUUACGUUAAAAAAAAAAAGAGGACACUUCUAGCCCUCAUUGCUUUGGAGAAAAUCUUAAAAAUGCCACUUAAAUGUUGGAAAGCCAAAAGGCAAACAUAAAGAAUCCAUUUUAAAAUAUUGCGAUUUUUAAGUCACCUCUGGUGGUUUCUUUGGGGCCCAGGUCCUGACUGUUGAACACUUGGGGUUUGCAAUAUGCAACUGACCAGAUGAGAUACUAGAUACCACUAGUCACCUCCAUGCUCGAAAGCCAUCAGUCCACAUAGCCACUGAGCAUGGGCCCAAAAAUCCAGCAAUGCAGAUUGUGCUAGGAGCUUCUCCUAAACAUGAAGCAUGAGCGUGACUUAAAUAAGCGGCGGCAUGAAGAAAAUGCCAGCUGGCUGGUAAUCCUGCAGAAUUCUCCAAGAAGCAGGGAGUUUUGGAUUUCAGCGAAAUGCUUUUAUUUAUCAACUACAGCAAAAGUGUAAUGCAGACAAAACAGUCUCUAAUUCCGAGAAUUCCAAUACCCUGGUCUGUGUCCUUGUCCCUUGCUAGCCUACUUCCUGCUAGCUACCUGCGGGGUCCACAAAAAGACACAAUAAUGACUUAUGAUUUUCAGGACCAUUGUGCUAUCAGGGAGGAUGUAAAUCGGGGCAGGAGUUGCAUCCCUGUUUGAUUCUACUUGUGGAGGUGACUUUUGACCUGCCGAGUCAGUGAAAGCCCCAAGAGGUCACAUCAGGGCUCACUUGUGCUCAAGGCCAACUCGGGAUUGGAUGGAAGUAAACGUAAUUCCCAGGAAAUUCUCUUCUGGGGUCUCUCUACCUAUUGGCAUGAAGUUAGAUGGAAACCAAAUGAAGUCGGCCCCUGGUUUAAAUUGUGCACGUGUAAGUUAGUCACUUACUGGACACGUGGGGGUCACCCAUGUUUACCGUGCCAAGUUCAGCCCACAUCUAAGCUUAUGGUUGUUAUUUAUUUAUUUUGUCUUGCAUUUGUUUGCUUUGGGAGGUCUAGGCCAGAAGCUUUAGAAUUCAUGCAAAUACUGGAGUAAAAUAGAUGUGGGCUCUGGUAAUAGGCAUAACAUAAAGGAGAAAACAGAAGCAGAAUGAGAAACAGGACAAACCAAGUGAAUCCAAACAUAACUUGGUCUUUCUUUUUUCUUUGCAUAUCUGUGUGUUUCCCUACUGGAUAUUUCCACUGACUUUCAGCCUAAUUUGCAAGUGUUUCUUGGGACCCGCUUCAAAGCGAACAGAGUAUUCAAAGGAACAAAAAAAUGACAUUCAAAUACGAUGCCUUGAGGCACGGCCCAAGUCAACAGUCUCAGAUCAGAUGCUGUGCCAGUUCCGAACUCUGUUCCACUGUCCUCCCUUUCCUUUGUUCUGUUUAGAUAUCACACAUGUUCACUCUGGCGCGGGGCUGGAUCAUAUGUGUCUGCACCCCUACCCCACCCUGUCUGGUGCCAUCCCAUCCCCCUGGAUUGCUCCAAUCUCUGUUACAUUAUUGUGAGGAAACCAACGAAAACACUGAGCACUUUGAUUCUUGCUCUGCCUUGACUGUGACAUUUCCAAAGCAAAAGGAGACAGGAGGGAAAGGGGAUGAUAUGGGAGGAAAGUGGCAUUUUGAGUGUUCUUUUCUUGGAAAGGAGAGGAGGUGGGACUGAGCUGGAGACCAAUAAAGUUGGUAAAAACAUAGUGGCAAUAAAUGACAAAAUAUUCACAACAGGUCAAUAACAACCAAGGUUUCCUGGCAGAUGCAUGCACACACGCACGCACACACACACAGACACACACACACACACACUUACUUAAAGGUUGCACUAACAAAACCUAAUGGAAAUCUUCAUUCACAGAUUGUAUGUCUUCCUAAGGGAGGGGCGUUUACUUUUUUUGCCCCAAGAGUUUGUAUCUGUUCCUUUGCUUGCAUUUUUACACCUGGCAAAAUGCCCCCCGUGUAUUUGACCGCCGGGAAGGAGGUAGGAACCCAUCAAACAGCAUCACUACACUCCCAAUUAGAGCAAAAGGAAAGGUUUUCAACCAAACACAUGGGACAACCUAAAGAGAGGAGAGAUGGGAAAUAUCAGGGGGGGAUAACAAGAGCACGAGAGUCCCCAGAUUGAGAACUCUGGGGACUGAACUCCAUAUUUCCAAGGCAGAGGUCCAGUGUAACCCACUGAUGAAUGUGUCGUGACCACAUAUGGAUCUGUUAUAGCCCCAGCUACAAAGUUCAGCUCUUCAGCUCAAGCUGUAGAGGUGAGGGCUGUGGAGGUCACGGGUUCAAUCCUUGGUGUGUUGGAUAAGGUGGCGGCCAUCACAGAAGCACAGGAAGGGUGGUGCAAGCAUUUCCCACUCCACCCAUAUGUUCCUUCUCACCCUGAACUAGAGGUAACAUCCUUGGGCCUGAGACAGUAGAUCAGUUUCCUUGCAAAUCCAGUCCUUGGCCUCUUCGCUGAGAUUACCAACAGCCAUUUACUUCAAUCAGCCGGACUAGGUUUCCACAGGUGUAAAGGAGAUCAGAAUCUGGGCCCCAUGGGGUUUAAUUAGGGAUGGUUUUGAUGGUAGGUCUUGCAAUAUGGAUACCUGUCUCUGGACAUAGACCACCCACUUAUUUCAUGCGGCCCAGUGAGUAGUAAUUAAAUAGGAAUGGCUUUCAGUCACUACCAGCGUGGAUCUGAUCCAACCUGCUUUCCUGAGCUACUACUAGAAUUUACGGCCUCCAUUUGUGUAGACAGUCUCCUUUGGUUGCUGAUGAAGGACCAACAGCCUCAGGUACUGGUAGAUGAAAAGACCAGUUGCUAUGUUCCAAAACUGAGUCACCUGUUGAACACUUUGUUUCCAUUAGAGAGCCCUCCCCCUGGAUCUAGUCAGAGUGACUUAUCAAGGGAGGUUUCACGCACUGGGAUGAGCCUUUGCACAGGCUGCUUCUCAUUUUUAAAGGGAAUUGGUCUCGCCUCAGAAAGGGAAGGACCAGGAGCACACAGAAAGGUAGGAGCAGGAGAUGGGAAGGGAAAAGCAGGUGGGUCAGGUCAGUUCCCUACUACCCUUUAGAGUCCUGUGGCUAGCAUACUGAGUGGUAAUUGAUUUAACAACCUCUUAGUGUUGAUUCAUGAUUUGUAUUGCAAGUAGCACCUGGAGACCCCAACCAAGAUCAAGGCCCCAUCAUGUUAGCCACUGUAUAUGCACAUAGUAACAGUGAGGCCUUGCCCUAAAGCACUUAUGUAACCCACACACCUCCUGGGUGUGGGGUUCUGUCCCAUCUAGUGGUACCGAGACCACUUAGAGAGAGAGAUAAAAUGAGUCUGCUCUACAGCCUGAGCUAACAGCCAGCUGGCUUUUAGCUCAUGCAAUAGAGGCUCACACACUAAGCUCCAGAGGUCCCAGGUUCAAUCCUACCUGCUGACAAGCUGGAUCAUGGGUGUUACACUUACAAUCUAAAUAAUCAAGACAGCUAGGAAGGGAAACGCACACAGGGAGGUGGAGGUGCUUGCCUGAAGUCCUGGGCAUACCCAGGAAUAGAAUCUAGGUCUCCUAGCACUGAGGCCGGUGGCCAAUCCACAAGCUCACUCUGCCUGUUACACUGCAAUGCUACAAACGGGCAAAUUUCCAAGGGUUUGGAGCUGAGCUAGUUAAAAUUUUCUGAUUUUUUAAUGAAAUUUGUCAUUUCUGUAAUGGGUUGAGCUAAGGUCCAGGCUCAAGUACCCCUAGAGAAUCAAUGCUUGAAAAAACUAUCCAUGACAUUUAGGGCAGUUUUUUCCCUACUGCUUCCAACCAAGAUUACUAUAAAACUCGGCAAGAGCCAAAACCCCAGACAGAAAACAAAUUACAGUUUAUACGUGACUCUUCCUGUUUUCUACUAUGGAUCUAACCCUCUGCAGAUGGGCUGAAUAGUUUGGGCCUAAUUUUUGAUGGUUCCAUCUGCAAGGAUAGCCCUCUUCUGUCUGCAGGAAUUGCAGGCAGUUUCCGCUUGGACUUUCUAGUUGCCCAUAGAAAACCAAUCUGGUUACUGAAACUCGCCAAGUCAAAUGUUUGGAAGGGUUUUCUUUAACCACACUUUUAGGAAAACCUCUUUCUUGGAAAAAGAACAGCACAACUUCCUGGUUGAUGGUCGAUUCACUGUCUUGGAAUGAGCCACUUCACCCACUGCUGGGAUAGGGUAGGGGAUCACAUUAAAUGUUUGACAUCAUCCCAAGGGAAGAGUUGUGCAACAUGGUGGUAAUUUUAGGUUUGCUCGACAUUAUGUGCUGUAUGUUAGAGCUUCGGCAGUGUUGAAGUGAGCCACGGUUUGUUUUUAGGAAUCACUGUGUAUUUUUCUCACCUUCACAUGCCACUGGUAAGUGGCAGGCUGGAAUCUGCCAUUUAGACCUUCUCUCCUCAACAUAGGCAGCUCCUAACUAGUAGAUACAUCUCAGAGGUUAGAAACAGAAAGGUGAAUAUAUCCUGUAUAGCCCUGCCCAAAACAACACGAUUGUGACCAUGGAGCCUCGAAGGUUCAGAGAUGCGGUCUGGUUUAGCUCAGCAACUGGAAGCCUGGAUCCUUAGCUGAACAUACAUGUAUUUCUUUGGGUCUGGAAAAUCAAGCUGGGAAAUUUCCCAAGACCAGACUCUCAUGGCAUUUCAAGUACUUUCUGUUUCCAGCCAAGACAGAGACACUGAUGGAACAGCUUUCUUUCCACUUCAGCCCUUCUUCUGAACCCAAAUUCAGUCCAAACUGGGUUUACAUAGGUGUAAAGGAGAUCAGAAUCUGGGCCCCACGGGGUUUAAUUAAUGACGGUUUUGAUGGUAGGUCUUGCAAUAUGGAUACCUGUCUCUGGAGCUAGUCAGAACAUCUCCACAGAAACAUUUUGUUCUGCAAGAAAUGGUGUUGAGGGGGAGGGGGAGUUGCAAACAUUUCCCCAAUUUUUUGAUCAGCUGGAGUCAAAAGCAAGAAAUGAAGAAGGACGUGGCAAUGAAUUCAAAUACUUAAUUAAUUAGCAGGCCAGAUCCUCAGCAUAGUUCCACUCAAGUCCUCUCUUCCUUCUAAUCCCUCCUUAAAACUUACUUCUGACACGGUUCUGAUAAGAAAUUAGCCAACUAACAAGCGCCAGGAAGAGGAGCAGCUGAGACUAAAUGACAAUUAAAGCAGAUCAAACUUUUUUGUAAUGCAAUUUUCCUCAUCAGAAAAUGUCAUUUUGUCAAAAUCAAUAUUUUCCUCGGGAAAAAUGUUGAUUUCGAGUAUCCUUUUCAAUUUCCCAACCAGGAGAAUUGAAACAAAAGGAAAACGUUGAAGAAGGUCUUUUUGUAACAAAAAAUGGCAU